UAUAUUAAAAAUCGGUAUGUUGCUUUUUUUGUAACGUUCCGGAGUUUGAGUUAUCUUAAUUUUUUUUUAGUUUUAAGAGGCUUAAAAUUGACAUCUUUUUUGCGCAUUUUUAGACGUACAUAAAUUAUUUUAUUCGUUUAUUUUAAUGCCAAAAUCUAUUAGAUGCGACCAUAUCAUGUGGUUUCGUGUCCAUAAAUUUCAUG
rnacentral:misc_RNA from 1 species